AAACUUUUGUCUGACAACCAAAUUUUCGAAUGAAAAUUAAAACUUUCAACAACGGAUCUCUUGGUUCCCGCAUCGAUGAAGAACGCAGCGAAACGCGAUAGUUAAUGUGAAUUGCAGAAUUCAGUGAAUCAUCGAGUCUUUGAACGCACAUUGCGC
rnacentral:rRNA from 1 species